GGAUUAAGGAAGAAAAAUUCAUUCAUAUAAAAACCUAAAGAAGAUUUCCCGAUAAUUCCAUCCAAUCGUUAGAAUAUUAGAGAUGGGGAGAAAGUAGACUAAUAUUCAUUGAGUUAUUCCAUUUACUCUUUUAAGAGGACACCUGGAACAAUAGCUAUAAAUUGAAACGGCAUAUAUAAAAUAAAAGAAGACCUUUCGUCAACAUGGAUGCUGGUGCUUGGUCAUCCUAAUUUCAUUGUCCAUGGCUUUCUUCUUCAGACCCAGGAAGUGGAAAUCCCUUGGAGAAUCCUCAUGACCCCAAUUGGAGUUUUCUUGGCAGAGAUGCUGGAGUAGUUUUACAGAUGAAGAAACUGAGGCAAGCAGAGUUAAUGGAUUUGCCCAGGGUCACAUAGCUAAAACCAAUUGAAGCCUUUCAAAUUGCCUAGCACUGCCCAAAGGGGGUGGAGGGACAGUGGCCUUUGGAGUUGUGAGCUUACUCUAGUAAGUGACUUGUGAACUCUCACACUUAAUGACACAGUUCAACUUCUGGAGGGUCUAUCACAGUAAACACCGUCUAAACGGAUGUGCUGAGAGGCUGCUUACUGUAAGGAAAUUACAUGGUGACUCAUUAGAGCAGGUAAGGACUAUAGAAAUCCCAUGUUCCGAGGUUGACUUUUCCAGAUAAUUUGAUUCAAUUUGAGCAAUAUUUAUUAUUAUUGUGUUCUAGGAACUGGG
rnacentral:lncRNA from 1 species